UUCCCCUACUUUUUUUGUGCAUAAUAUAUUCUUAAGUAAUAAGAAGCAGCACUGCUGCUACAAUUUAAUGGGAAACACAACUGUUUAUUGAACCAGAUACCCAUUAUUAAUUUAACAACUGAAGAAAAAAGCUCCUGGCAAUCAGCGCAGUAAUUCUGUUUCCCUGAUUACUUAAGGUUUGCCAUUGACUUCACUGGAAGCACAAUCCAACCCUCAGCAGGGAGAAGUGCUGCUUUUUAACACUUGGAAAGAAAGAAAGAACAACUUCCAACCUAAUUCAGUUAUCCUGCUUGCAUAUUCCCCCGGUAUCCUCUGUGGACACGUACAUCUCUCAUGUGGUUUGGUCAUAAAAUUUCAAGUCAAUCGAGUUUCUGAAGGAAGAGAAUUCCACAUUAAGAACACAAGUCUUUCUCUUUGCCCAAGAAAGGCUUUUAAUGCUUGUGUAUUGUCGACUAUAAAAUAUGGAGCAAAAGAGGAGGAACAUUUAAUAUACUGGAGCUGAAACUAAAACCUGGACAAUGAAGCAUGAAAUGAAGUAUGCUUGAUAUCACAGAGAAACAGAAUUAACAAAUAGGUAAGACAGAGAAAGUAUGUUAAAGAACAAUCUUUAUGAAUAGAAGGACACUAGGGUGAUUGUAUCUUGAAGAGGACAAAAUUAAAGAUGGAAAGCAUUUAUGAAGAAACAGGUUACAGCACGUAUAAUCAUCAGAACCCAAAGGUGUAUCAAAAAAAAUCUCUUCUGUCCUCUGACAUAUUUCAAAAGUGAUACAUGACUGGAAUGCAUGAAGAUUAUUGAGUGCUUUAGAGAUGUAGGAAUUUAAAGUAUUAUAAACCAAUUACAAAUUACAUUCAUUAUGCUGUACUGUUUGAUAGCAUCACAUACCUGCAACUUUUGAAGGAAGGAUGCUCUUCUGUUUCCAGUGACAUGUUUUUCUUAAGAGGACACCAAAACAACAAGAGAAACAUAAAGAGAUUCUAUAACCUUGUAAUCACGCAUGUCUUACACAAUGUACUAUUUUCCCUCUUUAAAUGCAGAAAUGCUCAGAAAUAAUAUAUAGUAGAUGCUUCAAAUUAUGUUUUCUGUGACAGAAGUUAAUUCUAAAGUAACUAUUCCCUGAAAGAGAAACAGAGAAAACAUUUUUACAUGUCUAUCAUUUGUCCUUAGAGGACACAAAACAAAUAUGUUUUUUAAAGCUUGACACUGGUAUUAUUCUGUGUGGCCUGCGGCUAUAUGCUUUCUCCAGUUUGUAGAAUUGAAGGGGUAAGAAAACAGCUUUGCAUUAAGAGGAACACAUUGUACAGGUUAAUCAUAAGCAUGCAGAAAUCAAAAUGCUGCCAACAAAAUAAUGGCGUACCAGUGCCAAGGGAGUCACCAGGAUGACUGUGAGGGAAGCUGUGGGACAAUAACAGCGCCUUCGCAUGUGGGGAAGUAUUUCAGGCAUGUGCUUCUAAAUUAAUUAUCGAUGUGGCUGAAACAGAAGUUUUUACUACUGUCGACAAUAGCAAAUACUCGUAAAAAUUUAAUUGGCUAAAAGUUAAUUUCAGUGUUCCUCAAUCAUGAAAUGCAUUAAUUGAGAAGAGAUUUUUUUUUAAGGAUGUUUAAAUUUUAAAAGGAAAUAAAGCAGAAAAGCAGAAUCA
rnacentral:lncRNA from 1 species